GAACGCUAGCGGCAGGCUUAACACAUGCAAGUCGAGGGGUAGAAGCAGCUUGCUGCUUUGAGACCGGCGCACGGGUGCGUAACGCGUAUGCAAUCUACCUUUUACAGAGGGAUAGCCCAGAGAAAUUUGGAUUAAUGCCCCAUAGUAUAGUUUUUUCGCAUGAAGAGAUUAUUAAAGUACCAACGGUAAAAGAUGAGCAUGCGUCCCAUUAGCUAGAUGGUAAGGUAACGGCUUACCAUGGCGACGAUGGGUAGGGGUCCUGAGAGGGAGAUCCCCCACACUGGUACUGAGACACGGACCAGACUCCUACGGGAGGCAGCAGUGAGGAAUAUUGGUCAAUGGACGCAAGUCUGAACCAGCCAUGCCGCGUGCAGGAUGACGGUCCUAUGGAUUGUAAACUGCUUUUGUACGAGAAGAAACACUCCUACGUGUAGGAGCUUGACGGUAUCGUAAGAAUAAGGAUCGGCUAACUCCGUG
rnacentral:rRNA from 1 species